rnacentral:rRNA from 1 species
GGAGGGUCUGCGGGGAUCAGGUCGUAGUGGGUGUAAUGUACCUACUAGCCGCGACGGGUACGGGUUGUGAGAGCAAGAGCCCGGAAUGGAUUCUGAGACAUGAAUCCGGCCCUACGGGGCGCACAGGCGCGAAAACUUUACAAUGCGGGAAACCGUGAUAAGGGGACACCGAGUGCCAGCAUCAUAUGCUGGCUGUCCGGAUGUGUAAAAUACAUCCGUUAGCAAGGGCCGGGCAAGACCG